AGAGAUUGAUCCUGGCGGAGGCUACUGCUAUUGGGGUUCGAUUAUUCUCCCGCAGUUGAACGAUUCUUCGGAAUCGUGGCGAACGGCUCAGUAGCACGUGGAUAACCUACCCUUAUGACCGGUAUAACCCUGGGAAACUGGGGACAAUCCCGGAUAGGUGAUUUUUUCUGUAAUGAUUUUUCAUCUAAAUGCUCCUGCGCCUGAUGAUGGGUCUGCCGCAUACUAGGUAGUUGGUAGGGUAAUGGCCUACCCAGCCAGGUGAUCUGUACCGGUUGUGACAGCAAGGGCCCGUACAUGGUACUUGACACAAGGUUCCGGGGCCGACCUCUCUCAGCAUUGGCCAAACCUCCCCUAUGCCAGAAAUGCCGACGGGUGGACCACAAGUGACCUUCUUACGGGGCGGCUUCUCUAAACUGUAAAAGCUCUUUGAAUAUGCGUGGCAAUACCUCUCUCAUUCCCUUGGUAAACCGACACCUAAGAGCACCACAUUUAUUGGGCCUUAGAACCGCCCCUGCUCAUUCCACCUCUGAUCCCGUGUUAACCGUGAACCCCUGAACCAACAGACUAACGCGUGUAGUUCUAUAUCCACGAAGGGCAUUUAUAUCAUUCGCACGUCUCUAUGGUUAUAAUACAUGACUUAGUCAACUACGCUACUUUAUUCCCUUCCCUGAACUUCGCAUGCAUACAUAAUUACAGGCUUAUUUUAUCUUGAUUAUCGAUCAUUACUUCGUCUAGUUUACUGCUUUUUCCACCCUGCACUGUUCUAUAGUACAUAUCUUUUUUUCUGACGUUCAUCUAUAUCUCUCCAGAUCAUUAUUAUAAUAACCCAUGCAUUCAAUUAAAUUACCCCUUUCACCCUAAGCGACUAAUAUACCUCUCCG
rnacentral:rRNA from 1 species